rnacentral:rRNA from 1 species
GACAGAGGGUGCAAACGUUUGUUCGGAAUUACUGGGCGUAAAGCGCGUGUAGGCUGCUUCGAAAGUCGGAUGUGAAAGCCCUGGGCUCAACCUAGGAAGUGCAUUCGAAACUUCGGAGCUGGAGUUCUGGAGAGGAAGGCGGAAUUCUCGGUGUAGAGGUGAAAUUCGUAGAUAUCGAGAGGAACACCGGUGGCGAAGGCGCCUUCUGGACAGUGACUGACGCUGAGACGGCGAAAGCGUGGGGAGCAAACAGGG